AGUAAGAGGCCUUGCACCCUCUUUUCCUUGGGAGUGCUUCAUUGUAGUUGCAACCCUCGGUUCAUCCAGCGUUGAUUUUUUGUCAGGAAGCUUCUCUGCCUCGGUGUUCGAAUGGUGUUGCUUGUACCCAUCGCUGGGGGUCUGUUGAUCAUUGGGCGUGGUUUUUUCAAGGGCAAAGAGGCAGUGGGUUCCCUUCCAGUGGGUGUGCUUAUGGGUAAGAGAACUCAAAUCCUCUUUCCUUGCGAGUGUCGGUCGGUUUUGGGUAAGUAGGGGAACUCAGAUCCUCUUUCCAUGUGAGUGUCGGUCGGUUUUGGGUAAGUAGGAGAACUCACAUCCUCUUUCCUUGUGAGUGCUUCGAUGUCCUUUUCUUGCAGUCCUUGGUUUGUUUGGCGAUGAUUUUUGGGCAGCGGCUUCUCCGUCUCUGCGUCUGAAUGCUGUCGCUGGCCAUCAUCAUCAUGGGAAUGUUUUGGGGCAGUGGGACAUCGUUUGUACUGGGGGAAAGGGUAGGUGGGCUCUCUCUCUCUUUUUGAAUAUAACUUGUGCUCGUUUUUCUUUUACUCUGUUGAAAGGGGAAAUUGUCGGGAAUCAUUCUUGUGGAGGGAUGAAAGAAGUGCGCUAUUGGGACUGGACACCCUAGUCCCUCCUGACCGUCAUUCCCUACAAUUUCCCCUUGCAGUUGAGUCCUGGGAAAUCUUGCUCUAUUUGUUUGACCCUCUUUUGGAAUGGGGAGUGAAUUUGUGUCUUGUGGACCUUGGGUCGGACAACUUGUGCUUGUUUUUCCUUUUCUCCAUCGAAAGGGGGAAUUGUGGGGAAUCAGUGUUUUGGAGGGGGGAUGAAAGUAGCAUGUUGUUCAACUGGCCACCCUAGUCCCCCCUUGAUCAUUGUUCCCUUCAAGUCCCCCUCUUGAGUUGAGGUCGUGGAAAUCUUGCUCUAUUUGUUCGAGCCUCCUGUGUACGGCGGAGGGGUGCAUUUGUCUUGUUGGGUGGGAGGGUUGUUAUCGUUUGUGGUGCCGUGUGCAUCAUGGGAUUUUCCAUUUGUCACAUGGAUGCCUUGUCUAGCGAAGUGGGGGUUUGUCGGUAACGUGAGGAAAUGACUCUCGAAAACAGAUAUCUCAGCUCUUGUUACGAUUAAGAAUGUAGCGAAAUGAGAUACUUAGUGUGAAUUGCAGAAUCCUGUGAAUCAUCAAGUUUUUGAAUGCAAUUUGCGCCCGAGGCCUCAGUCGAGGGCACGUCUAUCUAGGUGUCGCAUCCUACACACACACGCUCCCUACAAGGCAUUGGGGAGGAGCAGAGAUGGUCGUCCGUUCCCAAUGUGGUUCGGUUGGAUGAAAUACAUGCAUCACAUGUCUUACGGUGUCCGGUGCACCCUCAGCAGCCCUUGAAAAUCUGGAGGACCAAGUACCGUCCAUGCCCGGUCAUACUCAUAACCGCAUCAGGCCUCCAAGGUCAACGACCUCUGGUCAAUAGAACAAUGUAGGUAAGGGAGGUCGGAAAAACAGAUCCGUAACUUCGAGAAAAGGAUUGGCUCCGAGGGCUAGGCCUAGGGGUCUGCAUCCUCAACCCAUGGGCUGUCGACAGUCUGCCCGAGCUGCUAUCGUGGCGAGGGCGGGCAGUCGUGUGUCGAUUGGGAUACAGAUGUAGAAUGUCCCCUUGCGGGGGAUUUUCCCUAGGUGACGAACAAUCAACUCAGAACUGGUACGGACAAGGAAAAUCCGACUGUUUAAUUAAAACAAAGCAUUGCGAUGGUCCCUGCGGAUGUUGACGCAAUGUGAUUUCUGCCCAGUGCUCUAAAUGUCAAAGUGAAGAAAUUCAACCAACCACGGGUAAAUGGCAGGAGUAACUAUGACUCUCUUAAGGUAGCCAAAUGCCUCGUCAUCUAAUUAGUGAUGUGCAUGAAUGGAUUAACGAGAUUCCCACUGUUCCUAUCUACUAUCUAGUGAAACCACAACCAAGGGAACGGGCUUGGCAGAAUCAGUGGGGAAAGAAGACCCUGUUGAGCUUGACUCUUGUCUGACUUUGUGAAAUGACUUGAGAGGUGUAGAAUAAGUGGGAGUCGUUUUUGGCGCAAGUGAAAUACCACUACUUUUAACGUUAUUUUACUUAUUUCGUGGGGUGGAGAUGGGGCAUUGCCCCUAUUUUUGGCCUUAAGACACGUUUCGACGGGUCGAUCCAGGCGAAAGACAUUGUUAGGUGGGGAGCUUGGCUAGGGCGGCACAUCUGUUAAAAGAUAAUGUUGGUGUCCUAAGAUGAGCUCAACGACAACAGAAAUCUCGUGUGGAACAAAAGGGUAAAAGCUCAUUUGAUUUUGAAUUUUAGUAUGAAUAGAAACUGUGAAAGCGUGGUCUAUCGAUCCUUUAGACUUUAUAAAUUUGAAACUAGAUGUGUUAGAAAAGUUACCACAGGGAUAACUAUCUUGUGGCAGCCAAGCAUUCAUAGUGACGUUGCUUUUUUAUCCUUCGAUGUCGGCUCUUCCUAUCAUUGUGAAGAAGAAUUCACCAAGUGUUGGAUUGUUCACCCACCAAUAGGGAACGUGAUUUGGGUUUAGACCAUCAUGAGACAGGUUAGUUUUACCCUACUGAUGAACCACACCACAAUAGUAAUUCAACUUAGUAUGAGAUGAACUAUUGAUCACACAAUUGGUCAUCGUGCUUGGUUGAAAAGCCAGUCGUGCGAAGCUACCGUGUGUUAGAUUAUGAUUGAACGCCUCUAAGUCAGAAUCCACGCUAGAAGCGGUGCUUGUCACUCCUCGACUGUAUCUUGACCCACAGUAGGGGUGUCACUUCGGCACCCCCAGGGGCCCAUGUCACUUGCAAACCUCGAUCGGGAAGCGUCUCAGUU
rnacentral:rRNA from 1 species